CUCUGCUGGUUGCGGUUAGGGCAAGCUGAACAUGCCUUAUAUGAUGCUAACGUCUGCAGAGAACUAAAACCUGAUUGGUCUAAAAGAUGUUGUUUCCGUGAAGGUGUUGCUCUUUGUUUCCUACAGAGAUUUGUUGAGGCAGCCAAUGCCUUUUUACGAAGGAGUAAAGCAAAGAGAUCAGUGAUGAGUUCAUAGAAGUUGUAGAUGCUCAAAAGGAAGUUUCCCGGCAAGG